GCGCGUAAAUUGCCCGAAUCCUGACACAGGGAGGUAGUGACAAGAAAUAACAAUACAGGGCUACAUCUAGUCUUGUAAUUGGAAUGAGUACAAUUUACAUCUCUUCACGAGGAUCAAUUGGAGGGCAAGUCUGGUGCCAGCAGCCGCGGUAAUUCCAGCUCCAAUAGCGUAUAUUAAAGUUGUUGCAGUUAAAAAGCUCGUAGUCGGAUUUCGGGUCGGGCCGAGCGGUCUGCCGAUGGGUAUGCACUGUUCGGCGCGGCCUUCUUUCCGGAGACCGCGGCUACUCUUAACUGAGCGGGCGUGGGAGACGGAUCGUUUACUUUGAAAAAAUCAGAGUGUUUCAAGCAGGCAGCUCGCUCUUGCAUGGAUUAGCAUGGGAUAAUGAAAUAGGACUCUGGUGCUAUUUUGUUGGUUUCGAACACCGGAGUAAUGAUUAACAGGGACAGUCAGGGGCACUCGUAUUCC
rnacentral:rRNA from 1 species